rnacentral:rRNA from 1 species
GGGUUGUGAGGUUAAGCGACUAAGCGUACACGGUGGAUGCCCUGGCAGUCAGAGGCGAUGAAGGGCGUGCUAAUCUGCGAUAAGCGCCGGUAAGGUGAUAUGAACCGUUAUAACCGGCGAUACCCGAAUGGGGAAACCCAGUGUGACUCGUCACACUAUCAUUAACUGAAUCCAUAGGUUAAUGAGGCGAACCGGGGGAACUGAAACAUCUAAGUACCCCGAGGAAAAGAAAUCAACCGAGAUUCCCCCAGUAGCGGCGAGCGAACGGGGAGGAGCCCAGAGCCUGAAUCAGCAUGUGUGUUAGUGGAAGCGUCUGGAAAGGCGCGCGAUACAGGGUGACAGCCCCGUACACAAAAGCGCAUGUGCUGUGAGCUCGAUGAGUAGGGCGGGACACGUGGUAUCCUGUCUGAAUAUGGGGGGACCAUCCUCCAAGGCUAAAUACUCCUGACUGACCGAUAGUGAACCAGUACCGUGAGGGAAAGGCGAAAAGAACCCCGGCGAGGGGAGUGAAAAAGAACCUGAAACCGUGUACGUACAAGCAGUGGGAGCCCCACCACCAAAGCAUUUGCUGUACCGCGUUGACGGAGCGAAGCGACGUCAAACCGAUAAAACAGCAGUGUAAAGUGAGCCGCAGGGCGCUUUGCGCGACAGCGCAAAGGCAGGCGGUUUCGCGUAGCGAAAGCGAAUGCUUUGGGGUGGGGUGACUGCGUACCUUUUGUAUAAUGGGUCAGCGACUUAUAUUCUGUAGCAAGGUUAACCGAAUAGGGGAGCCGGAGGGAAACCGAGUCUUAAUUGGGCGUUAAGUUGCAGGGUAUAGACCCGAAACCCGGUGAUCUAGCCAUGGGCAGGUUGAAGGUUGGGUAACACUAACUGGAGGACCGAACCGACUAAUGUUGAAAAAUUAGCGGAUGACCUGUGGCUGGGGGUGAAAGGCCAAUCAAACCGGGAGAUAGCUGGUUCUCCCCGAAAGCUAUUUAGGUAGCGCCUCGUGAAUUCAUCUCCGGGGGUAGAGCACUGUUUCG